AUUGAACGCUGGCGGCAGGCCUAACACAUGCAAGUCGAGCGGUAGAGAGGUGCUUGCAUCUCUUGAGAGCGGCGGACGGGUGAGUAAUGCCUAGGAAUCUGCCUGGUGUGGGGGAUAACGUUCGGAAACGGACGCUAAUACCGCAUACGUCCUACGGGAGAAAGCGGGGGAAUCUUCGGACCUCGCGCCAUUAGAUGAGCCUAGGUCGGAUUAGCUAGUUGGUGAGGUAAUGGCUCACCAAGGCGACGAUCCGUAACUGGUCUGAGAGGAUGAUCAGUCANACUGGAACUGAGACACGGUCCAGACUCCUACGGGAGCAGCAGUGGGGAAUAUUGGACAAUGGCGAAGCCUGAUCAGCCAUGACCGCGUGUGUGAAGAAGGUCUUCGGAUUGUAAAGC
rnacentral:rRNA from 1 species